CCUACGGGUGGCAGCAGUGAGGAAUAUUGGUCAAUGGACGCAAGCCUGAACCAGCCAAGCAGCGUGAAGGAUGACUGCCCUCUGGGUUGUAAACUUCUUUUAUAUGGGAGUAAAAUGUUCCAUGUGUGGCGAUUUGUCUGUACCUUAUGAAUAAGGAUCGGCUAACUCCGUGCCAGCAGCCGAGGUAAUACGGAGGAUCCGAGCGUUAUCCGGAUUUAUUGGGGUUAAAGGGAGCGUAGGUGGAUUGUUAAGUCAGUUGUGAAAGUUUGCGGCUCAACCGUAGAACUGCAGUUGAAACUGGCAGUCUUGAGUACAGUAGAGGUAGGCGGAAUUCGUGGUGUAGCGGUGAAAUGCGUAGAUAUCACGAAGAACACCGGUUGCGAAGGCAGCUCACUGGACGGCAACUGACGCUGAGGCUCGAAAGCGUGGGUAGCAAACAGGAUUAGAUACCCUUGUAGUC
rnacentral:rRNA from 1 species